rnacentral:tRNA from 1 species
GGGGAUUUAGCUCAGUGGUAGAGCGCUUGCCUAGCAAGCACAAGGCCCUGGGUUUGAUCCUCAGCUCCA